rnacentral:rRNA from 1 species
AGCGAACGCUGGCGGCAGGCCUAACACAUGCAAGUCGAACGAAGCCUUCGGGCUUAGUGGCGGACGGGUGAGUAACACGUGGGAACGUACCUUCUGGUUCGGAAUAACGCAGAGAAAUUUGCGCUAAUACCGAAUGAGCCCUUCGGGGGAAAGAUUUAUCGCCGAAAGAUCGGCCCGCGUUGGAUUAGGUAGUUGGGGUGGUAAAGGCGCACCAAGCCUACGAUCCAUAGCUGUUCUGAGAGGAUGAUCAGCCACACUGGGACUGAGAGACAGCACAGACUCCUACGGGAGGCAGCAGUGGGGAAUCUUGCGCAAUGCGCGAAAGCCUGACGCAGCCAUGCCGCGUGAAUGAUGAAGGUCUUAGGAUUGUAAAAUUCUUUUACCAGGGACGAUAAUGACGGUACCUGGAGAAAAAGCCCCGGCUAACUUCGUGCCAGCCGCCGCGGUAAAAC